AGAAGAGCAAUGGCAUUUUUCACUGCUUUUAAAGGUCCACGGAAACCAACCUCUCCAUCUGCUUGUAUUAGUUCAUUUCCCAUCCCCUCAGGGAAGGAGGACCAGUCUUGAAGAGCAGAGUUUGUGGGAACGUUACCCCAGGAUCCUUGGUUCUGAAAACAUUUCAUGAAGAACUUCCCAGAUAACGUCUUGUCAGCCAUAGAUGAAGAACCAACUUAAAUGGCAUGAAAAUGUGCCUAAAUUAAACUCUGUUUGACCUCCAACCUUCCUUCCCGAAGCAGAUCUUAGCUCUUCACAGAGGGCAUAAUUUCUGGAAACACUAGAGUUUUCACAUAGAUAACCCUGUUAGAAGACAGAGUAUC
rnacentral:lncRNA from 1 species